CUAUGGCCUCUGAUGAAAUCCGGCGAGCCGCCGCUUUCAACGGCUCCAUGCUCUCUCUCCCUUCUUUGUCUUCCAAUGAACCCCCACCUCCAAAUCUAGAACCCUAAGACUUCGACUUCUCCGCGCCGCCCUUUUCCGCCGACCUUUCCGCGCCGCCUUCUCUCCCCGUCAAUAUCCACGGACGCCUCCUUCUGUUCCGUCACAUCUCCCCCUCUCCCGUCGCCUCUCUCUCUCUCCCACGUCCAAAUUUUAAACCCUAGGUCGCCGCCCCCGCAUCAGAUCCUCCGCCCCGCCUUAGUGCGCGGCUGCGUCGCCCCCACCCACCUCCUCUGGCCUCGGCGCUUCUGUUGGUCCGUCCGGUGACUCCACUAUUUUCCUUGAAUGCCUCUAUUACCCUCGGCUGCAAUUCAGUCUACAAAUCUUAGAUUCACAAUCGCUGCCUUCGUUGUUAUCCGUCAAUACUUGUUGUCUCCACUUCACUGCGUUGCAGUUAUCCACAAUCAAUUCGUGAAAUUGAGGUAAGUUUUUUGGUCCGAUUGUUUGAUUUCAGUGUAGUUGAGGCUUCUUCUGAAAGUUUAUUAGUUCUGAACUAUGAUUAUCGGAUAGUAGCAGACAGAUUUCGUUUGUGUAAUUUGGUCGAAAAUCACUUCCGAACGGGUUCAUUUAUAGAGUCUUUACAUUUGUUUUCUGAUAUUAGUCUUUAAGAAGUCAUAGUGUGGAUGCUGAUAGUUGCAUUUUGUUGUGAAGAUAAUGGUAAUUGGUGAUGAAUUUUGUCAUAGAGAAGUAUGGGUGACAUCUUCAAUUGGUGAUGAGUUUAACUGCUUUGGGAAUAUCCUUGUUUGACUUAAAGGUUACGAUUCUCAUAUGGAUGCACUUCUUCCAUAGAAGGAUUAUAAAAGAAAAAAAUCUUAAACUCUCACAAUUUGCUGUUUUCAUUUCCGUUCAUUGCUGAUCUCACUUAAGACGAGGUAUUCUUUCUCACAAAUCCUGUUAUUUCAAUAAAUUGAUCUAUAAAAGGAUUUAAACAGAUUGACGCUAUUAAGUCGAGACUCGAGCAGGAGUGCCUUGCAAUUAUGUCUUGUGCUGAUAUUGUAGUUUUAUCAGCAAGAGUGGGUGGAGAUCAGUUCUCUCUCUCUCUCUCUCGCCAUUUCCUAUUCUCUGUAGUAGAGAAUAGUUUCAAGGUCUACUCUCAAUUCCUCUUUGUUUUAUUUUGUGCGUGUUUUAAAAUGUGUGGUGUUGUAGAAUGGUGCUAAUGGAGUUUUGUGUGAUGGUAUUUUGUGGUUUUAGGGUUCAAUUUGUGAAGUUUGUGUUAACUAGAUUCUGCUUACAGAUUAGUCGUUGUAACUAGGAAUAUGAAUUUAUCAGCAAUAUUAUCCUUGAAGAGACACUAAUGAGGUUUCUAUUUGUAGCUAGAUUCUAUUUGUAGUGUUCAGAUCACAUGCACUACUCAUAAUGAGGUUUCUCCUGUUUGAGAUUAAUUCUGCUCUGCAUGUUAUUCAGAUUGGAAAAAUAUCAAAGAGAUCAAUGACUCAUCCUUAAGUAGUUACAUCUUCAUUUCUUUUUAUAAUGUUAAUUUAUGAAGGAGAUUAUUAGUUUCUUACCUCUCAGCUAUGAGAGCAUGUUCCUGAAAAUCCUUUGAGGAAGCAGCCAUGGCGAGCAGCGGUGGGCAAAGGGUGCUGUCGACGAAGGAGGCCGACAUUCAGAUGAUGUUGGCAUCCGAAGUUCACCUCGGCACUAAAAACUGCGAUUUUCAGAUGGAGCGCUACGCUUUCAAGCGCCGCAACGAUGGUAAAUUGCGAUCGAAUCAAAAUGCCGUUUGGUGAUGACAGAUUUUCUUUUCUAUACUGCUAGUUUACUUUUUUCAUUUUUUUUUAUUGUGUGUACAAUCUCCGGUUUGUUAUGUGAAUGGAUUUAAGGUUUUGAAAACCAUUGGGGUUUAUGUACAAUCGUUUGUCGCAGCUUUUAACUGCUUGUCGUUUUGGGUGAAUUGCUUUUCUAUUGUUGCUAGGAACACUCAUUUUGGCAUUAGGAGAUACACUUAUUGGUUUCCUUUGACUGAUUAUCAGGAUUGAGCUCUGUGAAGUUUUUGAUGAAGUUGAUAUAUGUUUCCUUGGAUAUUGUAGUUGCUUCAUAAUAAGUAGUCGAGAUUUUCUAAUUAUCUGCUAGGAUGAUUAUAGUGUGGAUAUGCCUUUAUCAAUUCUAUUAUCUGUUGAGCCCUGUAAAGUUUUUGAUGGAGUUAAUUUAUGUUUCCUUGAAUACUGCAGUUGGUUCAGAAUAAGUAGUCAAAAUUUUCCAAUUGUCUGCUAGGAUAUUUACAGUGUGUAUAUGCUUUUAUAAAUUCUAUUGUCCGUUUCUCUUGAAUUGAACCUCCUAGGUUUCACAAAUGCUUUUGAGUUAGUUAAGUUUAUAGCUUUUGCUGUCAAAGGUCUCAAAACCAAUCAAUUGCGUUGUGAUGCUGACUUUCCCCAUGUUUGUCUGUGACUUGUCUGUCUAAAUUGCGCAUAUGAUAAAUCGGUCAGGAAUUUUUAUAAUCAAUGUUGGGAAAACGUGGGAAAAGCUUCAAAUGGCUGCAAGGGUUAUCGUAGCUAUCGAGAAUCCCCAGGACAUCAUUGUCCAGUCGGCCAGACCAUAUGGUCAGAGGGCCGUGCUAAAAUUUGCCCAGUAUACUGGCACUCAGGCAAUUGCAGGACGACACACCCCAGGAACUUUCACUAACCAGCUUCAGACAUCGUUCAGUGAGCCGAGGCUCCUCAUUCUUACUGAUCCGAGAACUGAUCACCAGGUCAUUGCUCACUUAUAGAUUGGUUUUAACCCGUUGUAGUUUCAUAUUAUUUUGGUUGGUGUUAUCUAUCAUUGCUCUGAUAUUCUAUUCUUUAACAGCCUAUUAAGGAAGGUGCUUUGUCUAGCAUCCCUAUCAUUGCCUUCUGCGAUACGGAUUCCCCUAUGCGCUACGUUGAUAUUGGUAUCCCGGCCAAUAAUAAGGGGAAGCACAGCAUUGGCUGCCUGUUCUGGCUGUUGGCCAGGAUGGUGUUGCAGAUGCGUGGAGUAAUUGCUCCAGGACACAAAUGGGAAGUCAUGGUAAAUAAGUCUUAAAUACUUGGUCUCGUUAUAAUACUUUCUUGCGAGGCUGUGCUUUUGAGCAUGAGGCAACUAGAAGAAUGCGUAAUGAAUUUAUGGUAGCUUGGGAUGGCUUGAGGUCAAAAGACAACCGGAGAAUCAUAGCAGGUUGAUUAACUAGUUCUUGAGGACUUGGUGCUUUAAACAUUGUAUGAUAGAUUUUUGUUUUAGCUAUAAGGUAGUUGGUAUUUUCAAUUUUGAAUCGGAAUAUGCAAUGAUGAUGUAUACUUGAUAUUUGGUUCAUUUGUAUAAUAAUGUAUGAAUUUUUUGGAUGAUAUAUAAUAUUGUUAUCGUUGAUUUUAUCAUUUUGUAGUUUUAUAAAAUUGCAAAAUUUAAAAUAUACUACAAUUAUAUAAAGUGCAAAAACUGUUAUAAAAGGUGCAAAAAAUCGUUAUGUAUUCUAAUUAAAGAUAACGGUUAAAUCGUUAUAAAAAGUGCAAAAAAUCGUUAUAAAAAGUGUCAAAAACCGUUAUGUAUUCUAUCAAAGAUAACGGUUAAAACCGUUAUAAAAAGUGCAAAAAACUGUUAACUAUGAUAAAAAAAUAAAAUAAUAAUAAUAAUACAUAACGGUAAAAUCUUAAUACAUAACGGUGAAAAACCGUUAUGUAUUCUAUCAAAGAUAACGGUUAAAACCGUUAUAAAAAGUGCAAAAAAACUGUUAACUAUGAUAAAAAAAAAAAAAUUAAUACAUAACGGAAAAAUCUUAAUACAUAACGGUGAAAAACCGUUAUGUAUAACCUUUAUAGAUAACGGAUGCGUACUGUUAUGUAUGACGCAUCGUACCGUUAUCUAUGCUACUAUACAUAACGGUUUUGAAACCGUUGUGUAUGACGUAUAGAAUAGAUAACACCACUAUACACAACGGUUUUUUUGCUCAUAGAUAACGGAUAAAAUCCGUUAUCUAUGAGCGUUUUCUAGUAGUGACUAUGUGUGAGCCACCGCUAGGUAAUGUGUGCACUAGUAUGGAGGUUCAUUAUAUGGUGUUAGUUGGCUUGGUAUGCUUUUAUGUGUGCCUGUGGCAGUUAGUGAUGCAUUAAUUACAAACCACAAAAUAGCUACCACCUUAUAUGUGUGGAAUCUUUACAAAAUGAUGAUUACAUGCUAAACAACAACUACAUAUAACUAGUUUGUUGCUUAUGCUGUNUCUCUCUCGUUCUUCCUUCUCCGGCGCAUCUCUCCGUCAGCCAUUUCACCCUUAUCGCCUCUUUCUAUGGCCUCUGAUGAAAUCCGGCGAGCCGCCGCUUUCAACGGCUCCAUGCUCUCUCUCCCUUCUUUGUCUUCCAAUGAACCCCCACCUCCAAAUCUAGAACCCUAAGACUUCGUACUUCUCCGCGCCGCCCUUUUCCGCCGACCUUUCCGCGCCGCCUUCUCUCCCCGUCAAUAUCCACGGACGCCUCCUUCUGUUCCGUCACAUCUCCCCCUCUCCCGUCGCCUCUCUCUCUUUCCCACGUCCAAAUUUUAAACCCUACGGUCGCCGCCCCCGCCAUCAGAUCCUCCGCCCCGCCCUUAGUGCGCCGGCUGCGUCGCCCCCACCCACCUCCUCUGGCCUCGGCGCUUCUGUUGGUCCGUCCGGUGACUCCACU
rnacentral:lncRNA from 1 species